rnacentral:misc_RNA from 1 species
UCCCCGUUAUCCGGGGCGGUUUCAUUAGAGUGCUCGGCAUUACCCGGUGGCAACUAGGGAUGAGGGUUGCGCUCGUUGCGGGACUUAACCCAACAUCUCACGACACGAGCUGACGACAGCCAUGCAGCACCUGUGCACGAUCUCCGAAGAGGGGCUCUCGUUUCUGAGAGCUUGCUCGUGCAUGUCAAGCCUAGGUAAGGUUCUUCGCGUUGCGUCGAAUUAAACCACAUGCUCCACCGCUUGUGCGGGCCCCCGUCAAUUCCUUUGAGUUUCAAUCUUGCGAUCGUACUUCCCAGGUGGGAUACUUAAUGCUUUCGCUCAGACACUUGCAGUUUAUCGCAAAUGUCGAGUAUCCAUAGUUUAGGGCGUGGACUAC